rnacentral:hammerhead_ribozyme from 1 species
AUCCAGUUGAUGAGUCCCGAAUAGGACUAAAAGUGGGUCCUGGAU